GACGAACGCUGGCGGCGCGCCUAACACAUGCAAGCCGAACGGAGUCAAGAGGAGCUUGCUUUUCUUGACUUAGUGGCGAACGGGUGAGUAACGCGUGAGUAACCUGCCCUGGAGUGGGGGACAACAGUUGGAAACGACUGCUAAUACCGCAUAAGCCCACGGAUCUGCAUGGAUCUGCGGGAAAAGGAUUUAUUCGCUCUAGGAUGGACUCGCGUCCAAUUAGCUAGUUGGUGAGGUAACGGCCCACCAAGGCGACGAUUGGUAGCCGGACUGAGAGGUUGAACGGCCACAUUGGGACUGAGACACGGCCCAGACUCCUACGGGAGGCAGCAGUGGGGGAUAUUGCACAAUGGGGGAAACCCUGAUGCAGCGACGCCGCGUGGAGGAAGAAGGUUUUCGGAUUGUAAACUCCUGUCGUUAGGGACGAUAAUGACGGUACCUAACAAGAAAGCACCGGCUAACUACGUG
rnacentral:rRNA from 1 species